UACGGAGGAUGCGAGCGUUAUCCGGAUUUAUUGGGUUUAAAGGGUGCGUAGGCGGAUCGUUAAGUCAGUGGUCAAAUUGAGGGGCUCAACCCCUUCCCGCCAUUGAAACUGGCGAUCUUGAGUGGAAGAGAAGUAUGCGGAAUGCGUGGUGUAGCGGUGAAAUGCAUAGAUAUCACGCAGAACCCCGAUUGCGAAGGCAGCAUGCCGGCUUCCGACUGACGUUGAGGCCCGAAAGCGUGGGGAGCAAACAGG
rnacentral:rRNA from 1 species